rnacentral:misc_RNA from 1 species
UGGACUACCAGGGUUUCUAAUCCUGUUUGCUCCCCACGCUUUCGUGCAUGAGCGUCAGUCUUGACCCAGGGGGCUGCCUUCGCCAUCGGUGUUCCUCCACAUCUCUACGCAUUUCACUGCUACACGUGGAAUUCUACCCCCCUCUGCCAGACUCCAGCCUUGCAGUCUCCAACGCAAUUCCCAGGUUAAGCCCGGGGAUUUCACGUCAGACUUACAAAACCGCCUGCGCACGCUUUACGCCCAGUAAUUCCGAUUAACGCUUGCACCCUACGUAUUACCGCGGCGGCUGACAC